CAUCAAGCUCCCGGAGAAAGGGAGCCUUUGACUCUUGCUGCCUUGGGACCCGGUGGUACCAUCUGAGUGGUAGAGAAAGUGCCGGGCGGGGUGAAUGCGGAGCCUCUCCGGCAAGUUCUUUCCAAGGAAGAAUCGGCCUGGCCUCUCAGCAGAGCAGGGCAGUGCUCCUGGCUCCUGAGCAAAGCGGUCCCUGGUCCUGCCCUGCCAACGUGUCUCACUGGAGCCACCCCCCACCCCCGGCCCAGCAGGCUCCCGCCUUCCCGCCCUGCGGAGGGCUCUCGUGGGGCCCAGGCAGCUGAGCAGGGCAGCCACAGCUCCAAGGAGCACCCCGACCCCCAAGCUGGUGGCCCUACGCCCUUUCCUCCGCUCUGAGCUCCAGGAGCACAUAACAAACAUCCUCAGAGACACCUCAAUUUCCGGACGUGCGUCCAAAGCUGACCUUACGCGGUCCCGCCCACCUGUCUUUCCUCAGCGUCCCUGUGUCAGUGGGUGGCGUCACCACCUAUCUGUUCUCUAAGUCAGCAACUGGGGGGACGUCCUGACACCUUCCUCCUCCUCGCAUCUCCAUCCGAUGCAUCAAGUCCCGUCUCAGACGUCUCUGGAAUUUCCUCACGUCUCACCUCCUCCCUUGCCGCCCCUGGGCGCAGCGCGCAUCGCCUCAUUCUGGAAUACCAGGACAGCCUCUCACCUGGCUCUGGCACACGCGCCCUGGCCUCUCCGGCCCGCCCCUGCCCCCAGGGCCUCUGAGGGAAGGCAGCUUCGGGGAAAUGCUAACAAGCCCCACAGGGAGAGGCGCACCUGCCAGGUUCACUCUGCAGGCUCCCCGAGCGUGCGCAGCGCAGACACGGAGCCGGUGCAUUCUGGGUAAAGCAGCCAGUGGGGCAUCAGCAGGGGAGGAAGGGGCCUGUGCACUGGGGACCAGCCUCUGGGAAUGCUGCCCUGGUCCUGUAUGUGGAAGCGCCAUCUUGCCUCCGUGAAGACGAAAGACUCGAUGGAGAGGGAGGCCCAGCAGGCCAGCUCUGGCCCCCCGCUGACCCAGCUGCUGAGUGGAGCCCUGUGAGUCCAGACCACCUCCCUGCAGAGGACCCCCGCGUCCCCCUGUCCAGUCACGACCGCUCGCCUGGUUUCCACAUCCCCGCGCUUAGCCGCUGCCAAGGCAUCGCUAGGAAUGGCCCACUGGCAUCUCGGAGGCACCUCAUGUCCCAGACUGGAGAACGCCGGGAAGGACCCAGGAUUUGGACUUGGAACCCAAAGCCCUGGACUCUUUUCCUUAAGAGUCUCUUCGUACAAACCACUCAGUCCCUCCGAGCCUCAGUGCCCCCCCCCCCCCCGACCAUGGACAUGCUCAUACUUCUCCCUUGCAGUUAAAGCAGGAUCACAAACAUGGAAUUUUGAUGAGCUAUCUUGUGCUUUGAAGUUUGCUCCUUUUGCUGUGUUCCCCGAUGUUCCUCGUCUCUUCCCCCCCCUCCCCAGGAGCAGAGGACACCUGCUUGCCCUGACGUGUGAAUGCAGGAUCUCUGGGACUUCUUUCC